rnacentral:rRNA from 1 species
ACAUGCCUACAACAUAGCGUUAAUGCACCAGAUCCCAUUAGAAAUUCACAAUUAAGCAUGCUCGGGCUAGAAUAAACUAGGAUGGGUGACCGCCCGGGAAGUCCUAGUGGUUUACAUGCC